UACGUAGGUGGCAAGCGUUGUCCGGAAUCACUGGGCGUAAAGCGCGCGCAGGCGGCGAUCUACGUCUGGGGUGAAAGCCCGGAGCUCAACUCCGGGACUGCCUUGGAUACGGGAUCGCUUGAGGAUUGGAGAGGCAAGGGGAAUUCCACGUGUAGCGGUGAAAUGCGUAGAUAUGUGGAGGAACACCUGUGGCGAAGGCGCCUUGCUGGCCAAUUUCUGACGCUGAGGCGCGAAAGAGUGGGGAGCAAACAGG
rnacentral:rRNA from 1 species